UCAAACUUGGUCAUUUAGAGGAAGUACAAGUCGUAACAAGGUUUCCGUAGGUGAACCUGCGGAAGGAUCAAUCUCGAGUCACUUGCUGAGGGAUGUCAUCUACACCGUUGCACCCGUCGGUCGGGCUUUUUCCCUAAGGCCUGAUUAAUAUUUACAACUCACUCAUGGUUGUCGGAAUGUGAUUUUGUUGGCUUUACAAUACAAUACAACUUUCAACGAUGGAUCUCUUGGCUCUCGCAUCGAUGAAGAACGCAGC
rnacentral:misc_RNA from 1 species